AAAUCCUUCUAUAUUGAUAAUGUAAAUCUAUCUUUGGUCAAAAGUGAAAGAAUAAUGCCCUAUAAGUCAAUCACAUAUGGAAUGUGAUAGGAUAUUUUUUAUAAUUUAUCUUUCAAACUUAUGUAAUUGAUAUUAAUAUUUAAUAAAAUAAUAUUUUUGAUUUAUUAUAUGCCGUAUCUUAUUAUUAUUUUUAAGAUUAUAAUGAACCCCAU
rnacentral:lncRNA from 1 species